GAGCAGACAUUACGUCAACAACAACAGCACAAAAGAUGGAAUUAGAGUUGUAUGUUUUAUCCCAGUUGGACUGUUUACUAGUUCGGCUUCAUUAAACUCUCGUUAAUGUUAAAUAUGUUUUGCAUGGUAACGCGUGCGCUACAUUAGUGACACGUUGUGAGCAUCACGUAUUGCACAAGAAUUACAUCAUAGCAUGAUGGACGCAUGAGCUUUGUGGAUCCUGCCAUGUUGAUGGUGCUCAUCUGAGGAUAAAACUUGAUGCAUGGAUGGGGACGUGAUCUGUUUUCUGAGAUUUAGUGCAUAUAUCUUGUUUACCUGCUCCAAUAGCCAGAGUGAACGCAUCGCCACACGCGGCCAUGGUGAUCCCCUGCAGUCCUGACACCUGAUAGGGCACUCGACUGCUUCUGCGAGAGCUGCAGCCAAGCUGCCCAUGCUGGUUACUGCCGAAGGCCAGAAGCUGGUGCUGCGAGCUGAUGAUCAUGGAGCAGUCGAUCCCACACAGCACACGCUGGGCUUCAAAAUCAGCUGGUAAACUCACCUGCUGCGGGCAGUUGUGGCAGUCUUGAGUGGCCAAACCCAGCCGGCCUGUCGGACAGAG